rnacentral:rRNA from 1 species
CGGACGGGUGAGUAAUGUCUGGGAAACUGCCUGAUGGAGGGGGAUAACUACUGGAAACGGUAGCUAAUACCGCAUAACGUCGCAAGACCAAAGAGGGGGACCUUAGGGCCUCUUGCCAUCGGAUGUGCCCAGAUGGGAUUAGCUAGUAGGUGGGGUAACGGCUCACCUAGGCGGCGAUCCCUAGCUGGUCUGAGAGGAUGACCAGCCACACUGGAACUGAGACACGGUCCAG